CAAUAGCGUAUAUUAAAGUUGUUGCAGUUAGAACGCUCGUAGUCGGAUUUCGGGGCGGGCCGACCGGUCUGCCGAUGGGUAUGCACUGGUCGGCGCGUCCUUCCUUCCGGAGACCGUCCCUACUCUUAACCGAGCGGGGGCGGGAGACGGGACUUUUACUUUGAAAAAAUCAGAGUGUUUCAAGCAGGCAGCUCGCUCUUGCAUGGAUUAGCAUGGGAUAAUGAAAUAGGACUUUGGUGCUAUUUUGUUGGUUUCGAACACCGAAGUAAUGAUGAGAAGGGACAGUCAGGGGCACUCGUAUUCCGCCGAGAGAGGUGAAAUUCUCAGACCAGCGGAAGACGAACCACUGCGAAAGCAUUUGCCAGGGAUGUUUUCACUGA
rnacentral:rRNA from 1 species